UAGCAAAACUCCACAUUUUCUUCUGUGCCC
rnacentral:piRNA from 1 species